rnacentral:rRNA from 1 species
UAAGGAAUAUUGGUCAAUGGACGCAAGUCUGAACCAGCUAUGCCGCGUGAAGGAUUAAGGUCCUCUGGAUUGUAAACUUCUUUUAUCUGGGACGAAAAAAGGCCUUUCUAGGCUUCUUGACGGUACCAGAUGAAUAAGCACCGGCUAACUCCGUGCCAGCAGCCGCGGUAAUACGGAGGGUGCAAGCGUUAUCCGGAUUCACUGGGUUUAAAGGGUGCGUAGGUUGUUUUGUUAGUCAAUUGUUAAAACCCCGAGCUUAACUUGGGAUCGGCGAUUGAAACGGCAAAACUUGAAAGUGUGAGAGGCGUACGGAACUCAUGGUGUAGGGGUGAAAUCCGUUGAUAUCAUGGGGAACACCGAAAGCGAAGGCAGUACGCUGGCGCAUAUUUGACACUGAAGCACGAAAGCGUGGGUAGCGAAUGGG